GACAAAUCAGUCCGUACGUGACGCCGCUCGCGAAAAUGACGAGAUCGCCGAUGAAAUAUCGCACAUUGUCGCGAAGAUCGUUCCAUGACAAACGCACGACCUCAACCGAUCCUUAAAAAGACGAACAAAGCACUCGGACACAAGAUAUCUUCUCAACUGUCAUUCUCUCGCGUCACUCAUGUGUCAACUGCACCUCGAGGAUCGUCCGAAAGACGCUGGACCAGACUUCUCUCAGAUCAUCGGCGGUCCCGCACAAAGGCGCGCUCUGAUCGGAUGCAGUCUACAAUUUGCGAGCGGUCUCUGUGGCUGCGCGAGAUUAUAGAACUGCUGAUUAUUCAACGGCUGACUAUUCAAUGCAUCGUUCCAGUUCCGUAUCUGGCUAUCGUCAUCAACGCUUCAGUCAGAUGAAACAUAUCGAUUCGCGGCUGAUUCCGCUUGACCCGAAUCGGGAAAAAGAAAAAAGAUCAAAGUCGUGACAGCCAGGAACAAUUCUCCCGGGGGCUAAAAUUGCGCAGAAUCAUCAACCUCAUCGACAACUCAAGGGAAAGACUCGGCUUUGCACGUCGAAAGAUUGCGACACGUUGCUGAAGGAGUCUUUUUUUGAGUUCAACACGGU